rnacentral:lncRNA from 1 species
GAUGGUUUUAUAGGCGACACACAAGGUUGCGGAAGGGCCUUAUGAUACUACCGGCUUCGAUUAUGGUUUGGAAUGUGACGUCAGGACCAACAAGGGAAGAUCUGUUGACUGAGAAGGUGGAAGGUCAGUCAAGAAAACUCUUCAGCUUCAUAUCUGGUCGAUGGGACUCUUCGGCUGAUGUCUAGAUUCAUUCGUCCAAGUUGAAGUCGCCGCGGUAAGGAGCUGGACGAACGCAAGACGGUCUGGACAGUCCGU